UACAGAGGGGGCAAGCGUUGUUCGGAAUUACUGGGCGGAAAGGGCGCGUAGGCGGCCUGUUAAGUCGAACGUGAAAUCCCCAGGCUCAACCUGGGAACUGCGUCCGAUACUGGCAGGCUUGAAUCCGGGAGAGGGAUGCGGAAUUCCAGGUGUAGCGGUGAAAUGCGUAGAUAUCUGGAGGAACACCGGUGGCGAAGGCGGCAUCCUGGACCGGCAUUGACGCUGAGGCGCGAAAGCCAGGGGAGCAAACGGG
rnacentral:rRNA from 1 species